rnacentral:tRNA from 1 species
GUAAAAAUGCCAGAGAUAUUAUGGGGCAGGUUUAGGACCUACUUACGGGUUUGUACCCUUUUUACU